rnacentral:rRNA from 1 species
GACGAACGCUGGCGGCGUGCCUAAUACAUGCAAGUCGAACGCUUCUUUCCUCCCGAGUGCUUGCACUCAAUUGGAAAGAGGAGUGGCGGACAGGUGAGUAACACGUGGGUAACCUACCCAUCAGAGGGGGAUAACACUUGGAAACAGGUGCUAAUACCGCAUAACAGUUUAUGCCGCAUGGCAUAAGAGUGAAAGGCGCUUUCGGGUGUCGCUGAUGGAUGGACCCGCGGUGCAUUAGCUAGUUGGUGAGGUAACGGCUCACCAGGGCCACGAUGCAUAGCCGACCUGAGAGGGUGAUCGGCCACACUGGGACUGAGACACGGCCCAGACUCCUACGGGAGGCAGCAGUAGGGAAUCUUCGGCAAUGGACGAAAGUCUGACCGAGCAACGCCGCGUGAGUGAAGAAGGUUUUCGGAUCGUAAAACUCUGUUGUUAGAGAAGAACAAGGACGUUAGUAACUGAACGUCCCCUGACGGUAUCUAACCAGAAAGCCACGGCUAACUACGUG